UACGUAGGGUGCGAGCGUUAAUCGGAAUUACUGGGCGUAAAGGGUGCGCAGGCGGCUCCGCAUGUCGGGCGUGAAAGCCCCGGGCUUAACCCGGGAAUGGCGUCCGAAACUAUGGAGCUGGAGUGUGGCAGAGGGAGGUGGAAUUCCACGUGUAGCGGUGAAAUGCGUAGAGAUGUGGAGGAACACCGGUGGCGAAGGCGGCUAUCUGGACCGACAUUGACGCUGAGGCGCGAAAGCGUGGGGAGCAAACAGG
rnacentral:rRNA from 1 species